UGCCGCCGAGCCGGACGGCGCGGAGGAAAGGGCAGAGGCCUCGGGAAUGAAUGGGGGCCGCGGCUUGGAGGCGAGAGAAGAAAGACCGACAGACGGACGCGCGGAGGACGGCGCUUCCUGCCUUCAGCCGGGGUCAGAUCAGAGACAGACAGUUGGACGGGAGCCCAGCAGUCCUGGCGGGGGCUCCCUGACAAGGACAAGCCCGUGGGCUGUGCUCAGCGCCCCCAGACCUUCCUCCUGGGCUCUGGACACCUGGACCCUCCCAGCUGAGAUUUCAUUCAUAGACCCCAAGAGCUUCCCCCCAGGCUGCCCGGCCAGGCUUCCUUUUGUUCCUGCUGGAGAGGAAAGCAGCACAAGGCCUUUCUCAGUCAAACGUCUUUCAGAAGAGAGAAUUUAAGAGAGGCCCUUUCCAGGAUCCUGUGCCUGGGAGGCCCCCGGUGCCAGGCCAGGCCUCUCCACGGUGGGAGAACUUCCCAGAUGUUGCAGGGGUAGCAACCGGCUGGGACCUUGGUUUUAUCAGACCCUGGGUGCGGCAGGGUGGCGUGGUCCAGCAUACCCCUGGGCCGCCCUGGUGAUGCCCAGGCCUGCCCUCAUUCUCUGGAUACCCCAAUUGUGUCAAGGUUCUGUGGCCACUCUCCUUCCCAACGGCUGGGCACCCCCGAGCUGGCCGAGGGCAAGACUUCCCAGAGCCUGCUUCAGGGAGCUGGCCCGUCUCCUGGGCCGAUUCCGCAGGGUAGGAAGUGCGUAAGCAACGGAACAUGGGCCUGGAAAAGCCACGGGUAAACAGGGAGGCAGACGCAGAGCGGGCGCGCGGAGGUGGGGUCUGUGGCGGGGCCAGAACUCUGCAGGGCAGUUAGGGAAGCAGAUUCCCCGGGCCGGGGAGUCUGAAUGCACGAAAAGUGGUUACCUUGGAAUUCCGGGGCUUUGCCGUGUCCAAGUUCCCUGCUGGCUGCUCUUGCUGGGGGCGGCGUCUCAGGCGUGGCCAAGGUCUCUGCUCCUUUCUGUCAGGUGCUGGCAACGGUCACCCUGCUCUGCUCUCUCCUCUUGCGAAUGUGGGUGCUCAGCCCGACGCUCAGGUCUACCUCAGGGUCCGUGCUCUUCAGGGUGCUGGACUCCAGGCCUGUGUGGGCUUCCAGAGCUCCCGAUGCCUCCAGGGGACUUUCUGCUUGUCAGGAGUGAGCAGCUACGGUCCUUCCCCCCAGUUUAAGAGAUAUCCCUUCUGUGCAGCAGACACCCUCCAGCGUGAGCCUCUGGGGGUGGGAGUGGGCAGGCCUUCAGGCCCAACUCUCCCCUCUUGGGGGGGUGGAGGUCUCAGCGGCUCUGCUGGGGAACAGAGGAGAGGCUGUGACACCAGCUCUGGGCACUCUGGAGGUGCUGGGUCCUCAGGAGUCCUGUGCGCGGCCGGGCUGGGAGCCAGCUGACCAGGCUCUGUCUUCAGGCAAAUACAAGCCAAGCAUUGUGCAGACGACACCCACAAACUGUCGCAGCCUGACCCUCAUCCCCAAAGAGGACGUUCCGCCACUUGUGCCAAAGCCAAGAAGGACCAACAAACUUUUCUUUAAUAUAAAAAGAUCAAUGAAAAAUUUAUUUAUAAAUUUUUCACGCUGGGCUACAAGUCAAUAUCGUACACUCGGGAAUGUGCUGCACAGACUUUAUCCAGUUAGAAGUGAUCAUCCCGUGACCCACACAGCUUCGAUAUAAGCCUAGAAAGUCUUAACAUUAAUUAACAUAAUUAAAAAGGUAUUUGCAUCUAGAAAAAAUAUACAGAACUCCUUGUGGAGUAAUCUGUGCCUCCGUUUCAAUGUCUGCCUGUUUCACUGACAUUGUCAAUAUAUUCUUCUCACACAAAGUUUUAUAAAAAGCCACAGAGGGCCGCCCGAAUAGGACCAGCCACGCACAAAGGGCCUCCACCCACCUGUGUCCUCAAGUGCUCCCCAUUUCUGCACGAAGGGUCAGCAGCCCUUCCAUGAAGGGGAGCCCUCAUUUAAAUGUGAAUAAUUCAGCCUCCCUUUUAUUUCUCAGGAUCAAAACAACACGGGGUGUGGGGCUGCAUAGACAAUCAGAGCCACAGAAACCAGGAAGGGCGCCUUUCAGGACCGAAGUGACGCAGGAGAACCUCCCGGCCCCAGGUCUCGACGCAGCCCCUCCCCCACGGCAGGAUUUCGGAUUCGAAUGGAGUCCUCGAAGCUCUGGGAGGCUGAAAAGGGGCAAAACGGUCCUUCAAUUCACUCAGCCAUUAGCACAAGAGAUUCACAGUCUUAUAGGUAUUUUAUAAAAAUAUAAAUAUGGGUACACUCUUGCCUUCACAACGCUGGACACAUCGCCCUUUAAAAUUGGGUUUAUAACCAAGAUUCAAAAAAUACACCUAAAACUUGGCUUAAAAUAUGUUAAUAUUUUAUAUUGUCAUAAAUGUUAUGACAUUUAAUUGUGGCAAAUCCAUUUACUUUUUUAAAAAAGUGUGCAACCGUUAACUAUGAUAGAACGCACUAGAAAAGGUAAGGAACGUCCCCUUCAGCCCUUCCCCGCCCCCGUGUCCCCGCCACCCUCCAGCGCCAGCGAGCUUCCAGGAUCCCGGGAAACUGCAAAACAGGCCGGUUUGGGGGGUGGUGGCCUCAUCCAGGAGGGGCGGGGGAGAGGCCCUGGGGCUUCCAAAAUUCACGAUUGG
rnacentral:lncRNA from 1 species